ensembl:lncRNA
GGAUAGGUCUGGGUAGUUGGAUAGGUCUGGAUAGUUGGAUAGGUCUGGGUAGUUGGAUAGGUCUGGGUAGUUGGAUAGGUCUGGGUAGUUGGAUAGGUCUGGAUAGUUGGAUAGGUCUGGAUAGUUGCAUAGGGCUGGAUAGUUGGAUAGGUCUGGAUAGUUGGGUAGGGCUGGAUAGUUGGGUAGGUCUGGAUAGUUGGAUAGGUCUGGAUAGUUGGAUAGGGCUGGAUAGUUGGAUAGGUCUGGAUAGUUGGAUAGGUCUGGAAAGGUCUGGAUAGUUGGAUAGGUCUGGAUAGUUGGAUAGGUCUGAAUAGUUGGAUAGGUCUGGAUAGUUGGAUAGGUCUCGAUAGUUGGAUAGGUCUGGAUAGUUGGAUAGGUCUGGAUAGAUAGGUCUGGAUAUGUCUGGAUAGUUGGAUAGGUCUGGAUAGUUGGAUAGGUCUGGAUAGUUGGAUAGGGCUGGAUAGUUGGAUAGGGCUGGAUAGUUGGAUAGGUCUGGAUAGUUGGAUAGGUCUGGAUAGGUCUGGAUAGUUGGAUAGGUCUGGAUAGUUGGAUAGGUCUGGAUAGGUCUGGAUAGUUGGUUAGGUCUGAAUAGUUCUGAAUCGUUGGAUAGGUCUGGAUAGGUCUGAAUAGUUGGUUAGGUCUGAAUAGUUCUGAAUCGUUGGAUACGUCUGGAUAGUGG